rnacentral:rRNA from 1 species
UACGUAGGGUGCAAGCGUUGUCCGGAAUUAUUGGGCGUAAAGAGCUCGUAGGCGGUUUGUCGCGUCUGCUGUGAAAUCCCGAGGCUCAACCUCGGGCCUGCAGUGGGUACGGGCAGACUAGAGUGCGGUAGGGGAGAUUGGAAUUCCUGGUGUAGCGGUGGAAUGCGCAGAUAUCAGGAGGAACACCGAUGGCGAAGGCAGCUCGCUGGGACGGUACUGACGCUGAGGCGCGAAAGCGUGGGGAGCGAACAGG